AUACUAUCGCGUCCCCUGAGUAGCACAGGAAGAAGAAAGGAUUUUCAGGUUUGUUUGUACAAAUUCUACAAGGAUGCCAUCACCAAGAAAAGGUAAGAGGUCCACGUCCAAGUCUUCAUCUAGAAGUCGGUCAAGAAGUCGUUCACGAAGUCGAAGCAGAAAAGUUCUGAAGUCGCCUCCCACUGCAGAGAGAAAGACACGAUCCCCCGCCCGCACCAAGACUGCUUCACCAGCAAGAUCCAAAGCUGACACUCCUACCAGGGGAAAACCCCAGUCCCCAGCCAGGCGUGGACGAUCAGUGGAGCGAGCGGUCACCCCCACCAGACGGUCAGCCAGACUGGAGAACAAGGCAAAAGAUCCAGAAUUUAAGGAACCCUUAGAAGCUCUUCCAUCAAUGGAUAAGUCUAAGCGAGUCCCCAAGACAACUCAUCGUGAGUUUGGGGGAGCCAUCGGCUCAUUCUUCAUGCUGUUUGUGCUGCCCAUCACUGUGUACGGACUGAACAUCAUGUGCGACAAGAAAAGCUGUAAACCCCGAAAGAUGAAGAUUCCGACCGACCUGAAGCUGUUCUUUGAUUGGGAGGCAGCCGCCAUAUACCUGGGCUGGAUCGCUUUCCAAGCUUUCAUUUAUCUGCUUCCCAUUGGACGACUUGUCAAAGGUCAACCUUUGAGGUCAGGAGAGAGACUUGUGUAUAGAUGUAAUGGCUUUUAUGCCAUGUUGAUCAGUUUGGCUGCAUUUGGUGGAGCGGUGUACUUGGGAUACCCAGUGAAGAAAGUUCAUGAGAAGUUCAUCGCUUUGAUCACCACAGGAACAAUGAAAUGUCCUGUAUGAUUUCUUCAUCGGACAUGAGCUGAAUCCACGGAUUGGUAGCUUUGACCUGAAGUUUUUCUGUGAGCUGCGGCCCGGACUGAUUGGUUGGUUGAUGAUUAACCUGGUGUUCCUGACUGAGGCUUACCAAAAGACUGGCACCUUUCCCCCCGCCCUCACGAUGGUGGUCGCUUUCCAAGCCCUCUAUGUGGCUGAUGCUCUCUGGUUUGAGGAUGCUAUUUUGACUACAAUGGACAUCAUUACGGACGGCUUUGGUUUUAUGUUGGUGUUUGGGGACUUGGUGUGGGUGCCAUUCCUGUAUUGUUUACAGACCCGAUUCCUGCAAGAACAUGGCGACUCUCUCCCCUGGUACUGUCUGGCUGGAAUCGCAAUCCUGAACAUGGUUGGCUAUACGAUCUUCAGGGGCAGCAACUCUCAGAAAAAUGAGUUCAGGAAGAACCCCUACAACCCAGAGCUAGCACAUUUGGAGACGAUCCCCACGUCAACUGGAAAGAAGCUGCUGGUGUCAGGAUGGUGGGGAAUGUGUAGGAAGCCGAAUUACUUUGGAGACAUCUUGAUGGCUUUGUCCUGGUCCCUGGCCUGUGGUUCCAGUACUCCCCUGCCCUACUUCUAUCCUGUGUACUUCACAAUCCUGCUGGUCCACCGAGAAAUGAGGGACUCCGAGCACUGUGCUAAGAAAUACAAAGCCAGCUGGGACCGUUACUGUGAGCGUGUCAAGUACAGAAUCUGCCCCCUCGUUUACUGAGCGCAGCCAUUACAGACACAUGCCAAAAAGUUUUAUUCCUGUCAGUCAUGUUUUAAUGUAAAGUGUAGUAAAAUUAUUUUUUAAAGAUUUUUAUCCCAUUUUAUCUCUGUCAGAAUCAUUCUUAUUUUUAAUGUUAUGUAUAAUGAUUUUUUAGUUGAUUUUUUUUUUUUUUUUUUAGUAAAGUAAUGUUUUUACAACAAAAAAUUGUUUUAUGAUGGUGAAAAUUAUUUUAGGGAAAUGUUUACAAUACAAAUGUAGGAUUUUAAUUGAUAUUUGUUCAUUGUUCAUUUUUGAGUUUGGUGGCAAUACAGUUUUCUCAGGGCUGUAGAAGUAUUACCAUUUUACAUGGAGUUGUUCAGCAUUUCAUCUAGUGAUGUGCGAUUAGGUUUAUUUAUUCCUGAUGUAACAAUUUUACAACCAAAAGUAUAGAAAUUAUGUCUUCAUUUGUAAAUAGUGUAAAUACAUGUAUUUGUACAUAACUAUUUGUGCCUGAUUAUGUUUGUUGUAAACUACAUCAAAUUUGUUGUCACUUAAUGUUUGAUGUGUACUUAAAUUUCACCAUGACUUAGACCUGAGAUAUAGAAAGUGGUCCCACUAUAAAACAAGUUUUGCGUGACAGUACACAUGCACUUGAAGUUGUAAGAUUCUUGGACGCUUUAUGACAAUUUUCAAAAAACAUUAGCUCAAAUUCUGUGUGACAAAAUAUUUUUCAAAAUACUCUUAAACUGCUAAAAAUAAAAUAUAAAAGAU
rnacentral:misc_RNA from 1 species